UACCCACCCUGAACGCGCCCGAUCUCGUUUGAUCUCAGAAGCUAAGCAGGGUCGGGCCUGGUUAGUACUUGGAUGGCAGGCCAUCCUUACUUCUAAAGAGCAUUCUGGCUGUAC
rnacentral:rRNA from 1 species